UACGGGGGCCUCAAGCGUUAUCCGAUGUAACUUGGCGUAAAGCGUGUGUAGGCGGUGGGUUAAGUUACUUCUCAAAUAUCUCGUCCCAAGCGAGAAAAGGGGAGUGAUACUGACUCUACUAGAGUUAUUUUUAGGGAAAUUGGAAUUUACGGAGGAGUAGUGAAAUGCGUUGAUACCGUAAAGAACACCGAUGGCGAAGGCAGAUUUCUGGAAAGUAACUGACGCUGAGACACGAAAGCUAGGGGAGCGAACCGG
rnacentral:rRNA from 1 species